CCUACGGGAGGCAGCAGUGGGGAAUAUUGGACAAUGGGCGCAAGCCUGAUCCAGCAAUGCCGCGUGAGUGAUGAAGGCCCUCGGGUCGUAAAGCUCUUUUACCAGGGAUGAUAAUGACAGUACCUGGAGAAUAAGCUCCGGCUAACUCCGUGCCAGCAGCCGCGGUAAU
rnacentral:rRNA from 1 species